CCUACGGGGUGCAGCAGUAGGGAAUCUUUCACAAUGGGCGAAAGCCUGAUGGAGCAACGCCGCGUGCAGGAUGAAGGCCCUCGGGUUGUAAACUGCUUUUAUAAGCGAGAAAUAUGAUGGUACCUUAUGAAUAAGGAUCGGCUAACUACGUGCCAGCAGCCGCGGUCAUACGUAGGCUCCGAGCAUUAUCCGGAGUGACUGUGUGUAAAGAGUUGCGUAGGUGGCAUAAUAAGUAGCUAGUGAAAUCUGGUGGCGCAAACAUUAAGACUAUUAGCUAAACUGUUACGCUCGAGACCGUGAGAGGUAACUGGAAUUUCUGGUGUAGGAGUGAAAGCCGUAGAUAUUAGAAGGAACACCAAUAGCGUAGGCAGGUUGCUGGGACGGUUCUGACACUAAGGCACGAAAGCGUAGGGAGCGAACGGGAUUAGAUACCCUGGUAGUC
rnacentral:rRNA from 1 species